rnacentral:sRNA from 1 species
UCCAGGUGUACUCCAUGGGCGGCCCCAACCGCUUCUACUUCCUCGAGGCCUAUAAUGCAAAGAGCAAAAGCUUUGAAGAUCCUCCCAACCAUGCCCGUAGCCCUGGAAACAAAGGGAAGGGCAAGGGAAAAGGGAAGGGCAAGCCCAAGUCCCAAGCCUGUGAGCCGAGCGAGCCAGAGAUAGAGAUCAAGCUGCCCAAGCUGCGGACCCUGGACGUGUUUUCUGGCUGCGGGGGGUUGUCGGAGGGAUUCCACCAAGCAGGUGAGCGCCCGUAGGCUCCAUCUCUGAAUACCUGGUGAGCCCAGACCGGGCAGGUGCUACCUGAAACGACUUCCAACCCCGGUCACCUUCCUGACUCAAGAAUCUCCUUCCAAGGCCAGGCAUGGUGGCGCACGCCUGUAAUCCCAGCACUUUGGGAGGCCGAGGUGGGUGGAUCACGAGGUCAGGAGUUUGAGACCAUCCUGGCCAACAUGGUGAAACCCCGUCUCUGAUAAGAAUACAAAAAUUAGCUGG